rnacentral:rRNA from 1 species
UACGCCCGAUCUCGUCCGAUCUCGGAAGCUAAGCAGGGUCGGGCCCGGUUAGUACUUGGAUGGGAGACCGCCUGGGAAUACCAGGUGCUGUAAGCCU